rnacentral:rRNA from 1 species
UCCGUAGGCGGGCUAAUAAGUCAGGGGUGAAAUCCCACAGCUUAACUGUGGAACUGCCUUUGAUACUGUUAGUCUUGAGUUAUAUGGAAGUAGAUAGAAUGUGUAGUGUAGCGGUGAAAUGCAUAGAUAUUACACAGAAUACCGAUUGCGAAGGCAGUCUACUACGUAUAUACUGACGCUAAUGGACGAAAGCGUGGGGAGCGAACAGGAUUAGAUAUCCUGGUAGUCC